rnacentral:rRNA from 1 species
UACGAAGGGGGCUAGCGUUGUCGCGAAUCACUGGGCGUAAAGCGCACGUAGGCGGAUCUUAAGUCAGGGGUGAAAGUCCCGGGGCUCAACCCCGGAACUGCCCUUGAAACUGCAGUGCUAGAAUCUUGGAGAGGUCAGUGGAAUUCCGAGUGUAGAGGUGAAAUUCGUAGAUAUUCGGAAGAACACCAGUGGCGAAGGCGACUGACUGGACAAGUAUUGACGCUGAGGUGCGAAAGCGUGGGGAGCAAACAGG